UACACUCCUGCGGGAGGCAGCAGUGGGGAAUUUUGGACAAUGGGCGAAAGCCUGAUCCAGCAAUGCCGCGUGAGUGAAGAAGGCCUUCGGGUUGUAAAGCUCUUUUGUCAGGGAAGAAACGGUGAAAGCUAAUAUCUUUUGCUAAUGACGGUACCUGAAGAAUAAGCACCGGCUAACUACGUGCCAGCAGCCGCGGUAAUACGUAGGGUGCAAGCGUUAAUCGGAAUUACUGGGCGUAAAGCGUGCGCAGGCGGUUUUGUAAGUCUGAUGUGAAAUCCCCGGGCUCAACCUGGGAAUUGCAUUGGAGGCUGCAAGGCUAGAAUCUGGCAGAGGGGGGUAGAAUUCCACGUGUAGCAGUGAAAUGCGUAGAUAUGUGGAGGAACACCGAUGGCGAAGGCAGCCCCCUGGGUCAAGAUUGACGCUCAUGCACGAAAGCGUGGGGAGCAAACAGGAUUAGAUACCCUGGUAGUCCC
rnacentral:rRNA from 1 species